GCCCUUAUGGUUUGAUCAUGGCUCAGAUUGAACGCUGGCGGCAGGCUUAACACAUGCAAGUCGAGCGGAAACGAAGAUAGCUUGCUAUCAGGCGUCGAGCGGCGGACGGGGGAGUAACGCGUAGGAAUCUACCUAGUAGUGGGGGAUAGCCCAGAGAAAUUUGGAUUAAUACCGCAUACGCCCUACCGGGGAAAUCUUUCGGGACCUUGCACUAUUGGAUGAGCCCGCGUGAGAUUAGCUAGUUGGUGGGGUAAAGGCCUACCAAGGCGACGAUCUCUAGCUGGUCUGAGAGGAUGAUCAGCCACACUGGGACUGAGAUACGGCCCAGACUCCUACGGGAGGCAGCAGUGGGGAAUAUUGGACAAUGGGGGCAACCCUGAUCCAGCCAUGCCGCGUGUGUGAAGAAGGCCUUAGGGUUGUAAAGCACUUUCAGUGGGGAGGAAGGUAUCAAGUUUAAAUAAGCUUGGUAAUUGACGUUACACACAGAAGAAGGACCGGCUAACUCCGUGCCAGCAGCCGCGGUAAUACGGAGGGUCCGAGCGUUAAUCGGAAUGACUGGGCGUAAAGCGCGCGUAGGUGGAUAUUUAAGUCAGAUGUGAAAGCCCAGGGCUCAACCUUGGAACUGCAUUUGAUACUGGGUAUCUUGAGUACAGUAGAGGAAGGUGGAAUUUCAGGUGUAGCGGUGAAAUGCGUAGAUAUCUGAAGGAACAUCAGUGGCGAAGGCGGCCUUCUGGACUGAUACUGACACUGAGGUGCGAAAGCGUGGGGAGCAAACAGGAUUAGAUACCCUGGUAGUCCACGCUGUAAACGAUGUCAACUAGCCGUUGGGGAACUUGAUUCUUUAGUGGCGUAGCUAACGCACUAAGUUGACCGCCUGGGGAGUACGGACGCAAGUUUAAAACUCAAAUGAAUUGACGGGGGCCCGCACAAGCGGUGGAGCAUGUGGUUUAAUUCGAUGCAACGCGAAGAACCUUACCAAUCCUUGACAUCCAGAGAAUCCUUUAGAGAUAGAGAAGUGCCUUCGGGAACUCUGUGACAGGUGCUGCAUGGCUGUCGUCAGCUCGUGUUGUGAAAUGUUGGGUUAAGUCCCGUAACGAGCGCAACCCCUAUCCUUAGUUACCGCUGGUUCGGCCGGGAACUCUAAGGAGACUGCCGGUGACAAACCGGAGGAAGGUGGGGACGACGUCAAGUCAUCAUGGCCCUUACGACCUGGGCUACACACGUGCUACAAUGGCCGGUACAGAGGGCAGCGAAAGGGCGACCUGGAGCCAAUCCCUUAAAGCCGGUCGUAGUCCGGAUUGGAGUCUGCAACUCGACUCCAUGAAGUUGGAAUCGCUAGUAAUCGCGAAUCAGAACGUCGCGGUGAAUACGUUCCCGGGCCUUGUACACACCGCCCGUCACACCAUGGGAGUGGGUUGCACCAGAAGUAGGUAGCUUAACCUUCGGGAGAGCGCUUACCACGGUGUGGUUCAUGACUGGGGUGAAGUCGUAACAGGUAGCC
rnacentral:rRNA from 1 species